AAGGACUUCGGCUCCUGUGACCGUGUACCUCAAGCAGAGGGAAGCCAGGUGUCUGGUCCCUGGGGAGCCGUGCCCACCUUGAGAGAGAAGGGAAGGGCUGGGAUUGGACUGCCUUCCUCCUCAUCACUGAGACUCAGGCUGUGGGGCAGAGGACUGCGCCCCCUGCAUCCAGGGUGGGGGCUGCCCCACACCGGGUCAGGGCCUGUGCUGCUGCCCCCCGGGAGACGGACCCCACGGUGCGAAGGCUGUGCUGGUGUGCCUGGGGGUGGACCUGCACUCCCCUUGCGUGUGUGGCAGGUAGCCUCUCCUCGGUUGGCUCUGUGUGACAGUGGGUCUGGUGUUUUACGGUGUGUGGAUGGGGCGCGGCUACCCCCAGGAGUAGCCUGCGAGUCCGUUCCUUAGGGUGUUCCCGUAUCAGGAGCCCCCGCAGGACCGCGGUACUCGGUGCUGCAGAGCAGGGCCUGGCAGCGCUCUUCGUAUGCCUUACGCAGCUCUGACCUGUCCCUGCAGUUCCCAGGUCUGCAGCCCCUUCUUGCAAGCCUUGAAACCUCCAGUGACACCUGUCUCAAGGACAGCGGGGCGGCCUAUGCAAGCAUCCCAGCAGAACCCGAAGCAGCCACUCAAAACAUGCCCCAGAUGGAGACACUCGAAGACCUGCGGUUCUCAGAGACCCAGGGCUCUGCCUUUAUCCUCCCCACCUAUUCCAUUUUGAAACCAAAGGUACCUAGCCUCAGAGAGAGAAAUCUUGAGCCUAAGGGUAGCCCUUCAGCUGUUGCUGCAGCUAGAGUUGCUUUUAGGAGGGUGGAGCUGACCCCCAGAGUGGACCACCUACCACAGACACAGUCUCUGCAGGGAGGCACCUGGGCAGGAGCAGCACUGUGUCCUUCAGAGACCUUAUUUAAGCCUCGUUUGCCACACGUUUAAGCCACAAAGGUAUUAGCAAUGCUUACGUCACUUACUGGUCAGGUGCAGGUCAAGCCCCUAGACACAGGUACUCUGUCUGCAGAUAAGAAAAGGUAGCCCCGAGCCGCACCAGCUGUGCUGUUUGAACCUGAGGGCAGGCAGCUCUCCACUGGCCCAGGCCGCGGGAGGUGUGCGGGCAGGAGGCCUGGACGGGCUCUCGUGGUCAGAGGGAAGGGGUGACCGACGGGCUGAGGAGCCAGCUCAGGAGCGCCUUCCCGACGGGCUCUCGUGGUCAGAGGGAAGGGGUGACUGACGGCCUGAGGAGCCAGCUCAGGGGCGCCUUCCCAGGCGUUCACCCCCUCUACCUGCCUGGAUGCCGCUGGGCGUUCCCGGAGCCUGGGCAGGGAAUGGCAGGGAGGUGUGCCUGUGAGCUGGAUUUCUCGGAAACACUCUGGAUCUGAGCAGAGCAGUCGUUUCUCAGGCCUUCACUCCACACCGCACUGUCUGCGCUCACCGCGCUGGAGGCGAGCUCUGCAGGCAGGGUGGGCGCCGAGCUGUGGUCAUACCAUCCCCCUGCCUCAGAAAGUCCUUCACAAGACCCAUGACGGGAAGGGGGGCGGGACCUCAGCCUGUCUCCGUGUCCUGCCAGGCUUGCCCCUCCUUGUGUGUGAAGGCAGUGCCACCAGCCCCCUUGUGCGCUGCUGUGCUGAGAGCCACACACCACGUGACCGCCGCCCUCCUGGCAGGCAGGGGCCAGGUCAUCCCCGAGCGAAGACAGGAGGGGCCCAGAGGGCUGUGUGGGCCGCCUGGUUAGGCCGAGGAGCGUCCAUCUUCCAUUGUGCGCUGCUGUGCUGAGAGCCAC
ensembl:lncRNA